ACUUUUCUAGAUAUAUAGUUUUUACUAUGCAUUUAGAUAUAAUAUAUAUCUACGUGUGUAGAUAAAGCUUUGCACUUAAAAAAGUUAGAACGACUUAUAAUUUGAAAUAAAACAAUAUAAAUAUGCAUAGAUAAUUAAAAACAAUUUUGACAAUUAAUAUUCCUUAAAUCCUAGAAACCAAAAUAAAUCAAAUUCUAGCAAAAAAAUGUCCAAAAUAAUUUACCUUCUAGCCUUAUCAAUCACUAGUCCCCCUUUAACUACAUGAAUUUGUUAAUGCACCACUCACCCUAUCUAUGGCCUUGUUUGAGAUAGCUUGUAUUGCCCACGCUUCAAUUUAAAACUCGCUUUUUCCUACAGAUAGCUUUGAUUAGAAGUAAAAUGAGUAAAAGCAAGCUUCGCGUUUGGGAGUCAUUUCUACUUAAACCCAAUGAACCUGCCCCUAUGGCAGCUGGAGAAGAAGGAGGCAGAUCCGCGCCCACCCCUCAUCUCGUAGGCAUCACCCGCUCCUCACUGUCAGAGAGUAGAUCCGCUGCCGCCACCUGUCUCUCGAGCAGAACCUGCCUCGUAGCCACCGGAGGAGAAGGAGGUAGAUACCCUCUUGGUCUCGUGGGCAUCACGCCAUCAUCACCGCCGGAGGAAAAGGAGGCGGAUCCGUCACUGUCGUCUCGUGGGUAUCACUCGCCAUCGUCGCCGC
rnacentral:lncRNA from 1 species